UACGUAGGGUGCAAGCGUUGUCCGGAAUUAUUGGGCGUAAAGAGCGUGUAGGCGGCCAGGUAGGUCUGCUGUGAAAACUCGAGGCUUAACCUCGAGCUGUCGGCGGAAACCAUCUGGCUAGAGUCCGGAAGAGGAGAAUGGAAUUCCCGGUGUAGCGGUGAAAUGCGCAGAUAUCGGGAAGAACACCCGUGGCGAAGGCGGUUCUCUGGGACGGUACUGACGCUGAGGCGCGAAAGCCAGGGGAGCGAACGGG
rnacentral:rRNA from 1 species